AGAGCACACGUGUCAGCAUGUGAGCAAACCUCAAUUUUUUUUCUCUCUCUUUUCUCGAGUCUUCUUCUUCUCUCUUUGUUUUAUCCAACGACAAUGGCGAUCAAUCGGUUGAUCAACUCUACCUCCCUUCUCUCCCACCAUUGACGCCGCCGCCGUAGGAAAGGAGCUCUCUUUGGGCGGAGACUCCAUCGUCAAAGACUCAACGGAUGGCUUAACGACGGCAUUAAGGUGGAUUCUUAGUUGCCGUCCCGACCUACCUAUAAACCUCCUACAAAAACUCUUUCGUCUAAGACAGGUUAGAAAAGAAAUGCCUAUGAGCUGCGAUGGUGAUGAUUGCUUGAAGGUGCCAGCCAAGGAGUCAUUGAAAGGGUAAGUCUUAUUCUAGUCAUCUCAUGGUUAGGACAAGAACUGUUUUUUUUAGGAAGCUGAUGGUACUGAUUGUUUGAAGGUGGCAGCCAAAGAGUCAUUGAAUGUAGGAGAUAGAAUUUACCUUCCUUUAUCUGUAGGCAAUGAUGUGCCGCCUCCUGCUAAGAAAGCAAUUUAUGGAAGUGACAGAGCAAAGCUUAGACCCUGCUUGAUAUAUAUAGGAGAAUUAGUAGAUGAAAUGUAUUCGGUCAAGGCACUCUCUCUUUAGCUUCUUAACUGCUAUUUGCUAAGUUAGUUUAUAGUGGAUUGUAUGAGCAGAACUCAAAGUAGUUGCAAGCUGCGUUUUUUUUUAUUAAUGUAGCUUAUAAAUAUAAUUGACUGAUUUGUUCGA